UACCCGCAGCACGAGUGGUGGUCAUUAUUAUUGGGCCUAAAGCGUCCGUAGCUGGCGUGUUAGAUGCCUGGGUAAAUCGAUGCGCUCAACGUAUCGAAUUCCGGGUAGACCGGCACGCUCGAGACCGGGAGAGGUGUAGGGUACUCGGGGGGUAGGGGUAAAAUCCUGUAAUCCUCCGGGGACGACCAGUGGCGAAGGCGCUACACUAGAACGGCUCUGACAGUGAGGGACGAAGCCCUGGGGCGCAAACCGG
rnacentral:rRNA from 1 species